rnacentral:rRNA from 1 species
GACGAACGCUGGCGGCGUGCUUAACACAUGCAAGUCGAACGGAGUGGCGAACGGGUGAGUAACACGUGGGUGACCUGCCCUGCACUUCGGGAUAAGCCUGGGCAACUGGGUCUAAUACCGGCUAGUGUGGGAUGGGCUCGCGGCCUAUCAGCUUGUUGGUGGGGUAAUGGCCUACCAAGGCGGCGACGGGUAACCGGCCUGAGAGGGUGGACGGCCACAUUGAGACAUCGACACGAACCAUACUCCUACUUUAAGCAACAAUGGGGAAUAUUGCACAAUGGGCGGAAGCCUGAUGCAACUACGCCGCGGAUUUGAUGACGGCCUUCGGGUUGUAAACUCCUUUCACCAUCGACGCGGUAGAUGGAGAAGAAGCACCGGCUAACUACGUGCCAGCAGCCGCGGUAAUAC